rnacentral:tRNA from 1 species
GGUGGCUCAGUGGUAGAGCACUUGCCUUGCAUGCAUGAGGACCUGGGUUCAAUUCCUCAGUACCA